GCCUGGCUGGCUCAGUUGGAGGAGCACGUGACUCUUAAUCUCGGGGUUGUGAGUUCGAGCCCCACACUGGGUG
rfam:Felis catus isolate Cinnamon breed Abyssinian chromosome X, whole genome shotgun sequence.